UACAGAGGUCCCGAGCGUUGUUCGGAUUCACUGGGCGUAAAGGGUGCGUAGGUGGCAUAGAAAGUUUGAUGUGAAAGCUCAGGGCUUAACCCUGAAAUGGCAUUGAAUACUGCUGUGCUGGAGGUUUGGAGGGGGGACUGGAAUUCUUGGUGUAGCAGUGAAAUGCGUAGAUAUCAAGAGGAACACCAGUGGCGAAGGCGAGUCCCUGGACAACACCUGACACUGAGGCACGAAAGCUAGGGGAGCAAACAGG
rnacentral:rRNA from 1 species